UACAGAGGGGGCAAGCGUUAUUCGGAAUUAUUGGGCGUAAAGGGCGCGUAGGCGGCUUGGCAAGUGGAAGGUGAAAUCCCUCGGCUUAACCGAGGAACUGCCUUCCAGACUGUUAGGCUUGAGACCGGGAGAGGUGAGUGGAAUUCCCAGUGUAGCGGUGAAAUGCGUAGAUAUUGGGAGGAACACCAGUGGCGAAGGCGGCUCACUGGACCGGUACUGACGCUGAGGAGCGAAAGCGUGGGGAGCGAACAGG
rnacentral:rRNA from 1 species